rnacentral:tRNA from 1 species
AAGACUUUAAGUUAAUAAAACUUUUAUCCUUCAAAGCUAAAAAUAAAGAAUUUUCUUUAAGUCUUA